rnacentral:rRNA from 1 species
GGACGAACGCUGGCGGCGUGCCUAAUACAUGCAAGUCGAACGGUCUUUUCUAUGGAAGCUUGCUUCCACUGAGAAGAUAGUGGCGAACGGGUGAGUAACACGUGGGUAACCUGCCCAUAAGAGGGGGGAUAACAUCCGGAAACGGGUGCUAAUACCGCAUAGUUUUCUUGAUCGCAUGAUCGGGAAAGGAAAGACGGCCUUUGUGCUGUCGCUUAUGGAUGGACCCGCGGCGUAUUAGUUAGUUGGUGAGGUAACGGCUCACCAAGACGAUGAUACGUAGCCGACCUGAGAGGGUGAUCGGCCACAUUGGGACUGAGACACGGCCCAGACUCCUACGGGAGGCAGCAGUAGGGAAUCUUCCGCAAUGGACGAAAGUCUGACGGAGCAACGCCGCGUGAGUGAAAGAAGGUUUUCGGAUCGUAAAACUCUGUUGUCAGAGAAGAACAAGUUGGAGAGUAACUGCUCCAGCCUUGACGGUAUCUGACCAGAAAGCCACGGCUAACUACGUGCCAGCCGCCGC